GUAAUGGUUAAUGGUUUCAAUGGU
rnacentral:siRNA from 1 species